rnacentral:rRNA from 1 species
UGCGUAGGUGGUUUCUUAAGUCAGGAGUGAAAGGCUACGGCUCAACCGUAGUAAGCUCUUGAAACUGGGAAACUUGAGUGCAGGAGAGGAAAGUGGAACUCCUAGUGUAGCGGUGAAAUGCAUAGAUAUUAGGAGGAACACCAGUAGCGAAGGCGGCUUUCUGGACUGUAACUGACACUGAGGCACGAAAGCGUGGGGAGCAAACA